GGCUGCCAAUAAAGUGCUCGUGGCGGAGAGAACAGGCAGAUCGUAAAGAUGCCGUCAAUACGCCCAUGUAGGUUCGUGCCGCGCCAUCCCUGGCGCGGACGCUUU
rnacentral:ncRNA from 1 species